rnacentral:tRNA from 1 species
GCCUGAUUGAUGCAAUAGGCAGACAUGGCUGAUUCAAAAUCAGUUUUAUGAGGGUUCGAGGCCCUUGUCAGGCACCA